rnacentral:rRNA from 1 species
UGGGGAAUCUUCCGCAAUGGACGAAAGUCUGACGGAGCGACGCCGCGUGAGUGAAGAAGGCCUUCGGGUCGUAAAGCUCUGUCGUCGGGGACGAACGGCCUUAUCAGGAAAUGGGUAAGGCGUGACGGUACCCGAGAAGGAAGCCACGGCUAACUACGUGCCAGCAGCCGCGGUAAUACGUAGGUGGCGAGCGUUGUCCGGAAUUAUUGGGCGUAAAGCGCGCGCAGGUGGGAUCUUUAGUCCACUUUAAAAGUGCGGAGCUUAACUCCGUGAAGGGGUGGAAACUGGGAUUCUUGAGUACCGGAGAGGAAAGCGGAAUUCCCCGUGUAGCGGUGAAAUGCGUAGAUAUGGGGAGGAACACCAGUGGCGAAGGCGGCUUUCUGGACGGUGUCUGACACUGAGGCGCGAAAGCUAGGGGAGCGAACGGG